UGCAGCGACGCCGCGUGAGGGAUGACGGCCUUCGGGUUGUAAACCUCUUUCGGUAGGGAAGAAGCGUAAGUGACGGUACCUGCGUAGUAAGCGCCGGCUAACUACAUGCCAGCAGCCGCGGUAAUACGUAGGGCGCAAGCGUUAUCCGGAAUUAUUGGGCGUAAAGAGCUCGUACGCGGUUUGUCGCGUCUGCCGUGAAAUUCCGGGGCUCAACUCCGGAUCUGCGGUGGGUACGGGGAGACUAGAGUGAUGUAGGGGAGACUGGAAUUCCUGGUGUGGCGGUGAAAUGCGCAGAUAUCAGGAGGAACACCGAUAGCGAAGGCGGGUCUCUGGGCAUUAACUGACGCUCAGGAGCGAAAGCAUGGGGAGCGAACAGGAUUAGAUACCCUGGUAGUCCAUGCCGUAAACGUUGGGCACUAGGUGUGGGGGACAUUCCACGUUUUCCGCGCCGUAUCUAACGCAUUAAAUGCCCCGCCUGGGGAGUACGGCCGCAAGGCUAAAACUCAAAGGAAUUGACGGGGGCCCGCACAAGCGGCGGAGCAUGCGGAUUAAUUCGAUGCAACGCGAAGAACCUUACCCAGGCUUGACAUGAACCGGAGAGACCUGGAAACAGGUCCCCCACUUGUGGUC
rnacentral:rRNA from 1 species